CACUAUGCUCAGCCAUAAACUUUGAUAGACCAUUACAACCCCUAUCCGCCCGGGUACUACGAGCACUAGCUUAAAACCCAAAGGACUUGGCGGUGCUUUAGAUCCACCUAGAGGAGCCUGUUCUAGAACCGAUAAUCCCCGUUUAACCUCACCCUCUCUUGUUCCUUCCCGCCUAUAUACCGCCGUCGUCAGCUUACCCUGUGAAGGAUUAAUAGUAAGCAAAAUCGGCAUAGCCCAAAACGACAGGUCGAGGUGUAGCAAAUGAGAGGGGAAGAAAUGGGCUACAUUUCCUGAACCCAGGACAUACGAACAAUGGACUGAAACGAACAUUUGAAGGAGGAUUUAGCAGUAAGCAGAAACUAGAGUGUUCCGCUGAAACCGGCCCUGAAGCGCGCACACACCGCCCGUCACUCUCCCCGAAAAAUAUCAAGACCACUUACCUAAAAAUCUAUAUCAAUAAAGGGGAGGCAAGUCGUAA
rnacentral:rRNA from 1 species